rnacentral:rRNA from 1 species
UACGUAGGGGGCAAGCGUUGUCCGGAAUCAUUGGGCGUAAAGCGCGUGUAGGCGGCUCGAUAAGUCUGCUGUGAAAGUCCAGGGCUCAACCCUGGGAUGCCGGUGGAUACUGUCGAGCUCGAGUCCGGAAGAGGCGAGUGGAAUUCCUGGUGUAGCGGUGAAAUGCGCAGAUAUCAGGAGGAACACCGAUGGCGAAGGCAGAUCUCUGGGCCGUUACUGACGCUGAGGAGCGAAAGCGUGGGGAGCGAACAGG